rnacentral:rRNA from 1 species
AUGCAUCUGGUUCAUCAUGAUCGUAAUUAUAUAUAUAAUUUUUGGCCUCGCGAAGGAGAAAGUAUCUCUCAAGCUUGGGGGAGGCUUAAGUCAAUGUUAUAUUCAUGCCCCAAUCAUGAUCUCUUAAGAGAAAUUUUUAUUCAAAAAAUUUAUGCUCGACUUUCUCUCAACAAUUGCUCCAUGCUCGAUACUUCUUGUACUGGUUCUUUUAUGAUGAAGACUAUUGAAUUCAAAUGGGAUUUAUUGGAAAGAAUUAAACGCACCUCUGAAGAUUGGGACCUUGAUGAAGGUAAAGAGUCAGGUAUAACACCUAAGUUUGAUUGUGUUAAAUCUUUUAUGGAUACCGAUGCUUUUCGUGUAUUUAGCACUAAAUAUGGACUUGACUCUGAGAUAGUAGCUUCUUUCUGUGAAUCAUUUGCCACUCAUGUUGAUCUCCCUAAGGAGAAGUGGUUUAAAUAUCAUCCUCCCAUUGAAGUAAAAGUAGUUGGAUAUAUUAAAGUUGAAGAAAAGACUAUCACUUAUAAUGUUGACCCUAUUGUUCCUACCGCUUAUACUGAGAAACCACCUUACCCUGUUAGAAUAAAGGAUCAUGUUAAAGCUUCAACUGUGGUUCGUAAGAGUAAAGCUAGAACACCUACACCCUCUGAGCAAAUUAAAGUUGAACCUAGUAUUGCUAUGGUUAAGGAUCUCUUGGUCGAUAAUAUUGAUGGGCAUGUUAUUUACUUCUGUGAUGAUGCUGCUAGAAUUGCUAGACCCGAUACUAAAGGUAAACAUAGACAUGUUGUUGGCAUGCCUGUUGUUUCUGUUAAAAUAGGAGAUCAUUGUUAUCAUGGCUUAUGUGAUAUGGGUGCUAGUGUGAGUGCAAUAUCUCAUUCCUUAUACAAAGAAAUUAUGCAUGAUAUUGCACCUGCCGAAAUAGAAGGUAUUGAUGUUACUAUUAAACUUGCCAAUUGA